AGACCGAUAGCGAACAAGUACCGUGAGGGAAAGAUGAAAAGCACUUUGGAAAGAGAGUUAACAGUACGUGAAAUUGUUGGAAGGGAAACGCUUGAAGUCAGACUUGCUUGCCGGACUUGUUCGGUUUGCAGGCCAGCAUCAGUUUUCUGGGGUGGAUAAUGGCGGUUUGAAGGUAGCAGCUUCGGCUGUGUUAUAGCUUUCCGCUGGAUACAUCCUGGGGGACUGAGGAACGCAGCGUGCUUUUUGCGAAGGUUUCGACCUUUUCACGCUUAGGAUGCUGGUGGAAUGACUUUAAACGACCCGUCUUGAAACACGGAC
rnacentral:rRNA from 1 species